CGUGGCCCAGGGUGGUCCCCGAGAGGGUGGUCCCCACGUGGGCAGACCAGGAGUCCAUCCUCCCCCCCACACUGUACCGCCCUGCAG
rnacentral:miRNA from 1 species